rnacentral:rRNA from 2 species
UACAGAGGGUGCAAGCGUUAAUCGGAUUUACUGGGCGUAAAGGGUGCGUAGGUGGCUAUUUAAGUCGGAUGUGAAAGCCCGGGGCUCAACCUCGGAAUUGCAUUCGAUACUGAGUGGCUAGAGUUCGGUAGAGGGCGGCGGAAUUUCCGGUGUAGCGGUGAAAUGCGUAGAUAUCGGAAGGAACAUCAAUGGCGAAGGCAGCCGCCUGGGCCUGGACUGACACUGAGGCACGAAAGCGUGGGUAGCAAACAGG